rnacentral:rRNA from 1 species
UACGUAGGGGGCAAGCGUUGUCCGGAAUCAUUGGGCGUAAAGCGCGUGUAGGCGGCUCGGUAAGUCUGCUGUGAAAAGUCCAGGGCUCAACCCUGGAAUGCCGGUGGAAACUGUCGGGCUAGAGUCCGGAAGAGGCGAGUGGAAUUCCUGGUGUAGCGGUGAAAUGCGCAGAUAUCGGAAGGAACACCUGUGGCGAAAAGCGGCUCACUGGACCAUUACUGACGCUGAGGCACGAAAGCUAGGGGAGCAAACAGG